GCCAAACCGCGUCCAGGUCCUCAGAUCAGGGACGUUGGAUCCCGCUCGCGAGAAACAAAGAACCCGAGUACAUAUGUGGUGAUGUACAAAUAUUCUUGAAGCCUCUGCUUAUCCGCUAUUAUCCCUGCUAAAGAGUUUCGCGCUCCCCCCCUAGCAGAUAAGAAAAUCUAGUCUCCUUUGCAUUUCCAAUCUCAUUUUUGGAUUUCCAUGGCUACUGUAUAGUUCCCGGGCGCUUUUGCAACAAGGAGCUUGCCACCUUAUGAAGGACUCCGCCCGUCCAUGGUUAGGGUUUCUUCGGUCAGGCCUUGCAGUGUAGGGCUUAACAGGAGGCAUUUCCAAGGUCGUGUUGUCAGGGCCGUCACCGUUGAUGCCCCAGAGAAGCUUGGGGUGGUGGUGAAGCCGAUUGAGAAACCAAGGCUGGUUCUGAAAUUCAUCUGGCUGGAGAAGAA